UACGUAGGGGCAAGCGUUGGUCCGGAUUUAUUGGGCGUAAAGAGCGUGUAGGCGGCCAUGUAGGUCCGUUGUGAAAACUCGAGGCUCAACCUCGAGACGCCGAUGGAAACCAUGUGGCUAGAGUCCGGAAGAGGAGAGUGGAAUUCCUGGUGUAGCGGUGAAAUGCGCAGAUAUCGGGAGGAACACCAGUGGCGAAGGCGGCACUCUGGGCCGGUACUGACGCUGAGGAGCGAAAGCGUGGGAGCGAACAGGA
rnacentral:rRNA from 1 species